ensembl:lncRNA
AGAGCAAGCAUCGAUCCUGGGUUUCCAUCCUUCUCCUUGUUUCUGUAGGCGAUUGAGAAGAUUAGAUUGUGCCCAGCUAGCUAGAUAUCGCCUCCAGACAAUUUAUACGGCUUUUCUAUUUAUUUAGAGAGCAGGAGGCCUAGCCAAGCUCCUGCUAGAUGAGGUAGUGGCAUGAGAAUUUAAAAGGGCUGUUUCAUUAAUUUUGGAGGGAAUUUAUUGCUGACAAAAGACCGCAUUAUUGAUGGUGGGUAGACAGCUCUCGCCUCGCCGCCUCUCGCCUCUCCGGAGCUGCGCGGGAGAGCCGCCCCCGCUCCAGCCGGCAGCCUCCUGGGUCGCCCAGGGAAGCCCUUCCCGCGGGAGGAGGAAGCCAGGGAGCCGUUCUGGCACUCAGCCAGCGAGGCGCAGGGCUUAAGUGGCAGAGCCUCCAGCUGGCUGCACCGCUGCAGUCCCUGACAGGAAGGACGAUUGGAGGUCGUCUAGCUCCAUCCUCAUCCUGCACCGAUGGGGUCCUGAACACCCAGGGAGGUCAAGUGAUUUAGCCACAUAUCAAGCCAGGAAUCAGGUAGAAAACAGAGUACAUCAUGAGAAAUACUGGACUGGAUGAAGCACAAGCUGGAAUCAAGAUUGCCAGGAGAAAUAUCAACAACCUCAGAUAUGCAGAUGAUACCACCCUUAUGGCAGAAAGCGAAGAAGAAAUAAAGAGACUCUUGAUGAAAGUGAAAGAGGAGAGUGAAAAAGUUGGCUUAAAACUCAACAUUCAGAAAACUAAGAUCAUGGCAUCUGGUCCCAUCACUUCAAGCAAGUAGAUGGGGAAACAGUGGAAACAGUGACAGACUUUAUAUUUGGGGGCUCCAAAAUCACUGCAGAUGGUGACUGCAGCCAGGAAAUUAAAUGACAUUUGCUCCUUGGAAGAAACGUUAUGAUCAACCUAGACAGAGUAUUAAAAAACAGAGACGUUACUUUGCCAACAAAGGUCCAUCUAGUCAAAGCAAUGGUUUUUCCAGUAGUGAUGUAUGAAUGUGAGAGUUGGACUAUAAAAAAAGCUGAGCGCCGAAGAAUUGAUGCUUUUGAACUGUGGUGUUGGAUAAGACUCUUGAGAGUCCCUUGGACUGCAAGGAGAUCCAACCAGAAAGGAAAUCAGUUCUGAAUAUUCAUUGGAAGGGCUGAUACUGAAGCUGAAACUCCAAUACUUUGGCCACUUGAUGGGAGAAACUGACUUAUUUGAAAAGACCCUGAUGGUGGGAAAGAUU